rnacentral:sRNA from 1 species
GUUUGCACUCAUCGGGGAAGGGUGAGAACCUUCGACUAAGGUUCGAUUCGAGCGAAAGCGAGAGAGCGUUGCCACAGGCAACGGCCCGAAGGGUGAGGAGCGAAGCGACGAAUAAUCCUUCCCCCACCACCA